rnacentral:rRNA from 1 species
GAUGAACGCUGGCGGCGUGCCUAAUACAUGCAAGUCGAGCGAACGGACGAGAAGCUUGCUUCUCUGAUGUUAGCGGCGGACGGGUGAGUAACACGUGGAUAACCUACCUAUAAGACUGGGAUAACUUCGGGAAACCGGAGCUAAUACCGGAUAAUAUUUUUAACCGCAUUGUUCAAAAGUGAAAGACGUUCUUGCUGUCACUUAUAGAUGGAUCCUCGCUGCAUUAGCUAGUUGGUAAGGUAACGGCUUUCCAAGGCAACGAUGCAUAGCCGACCUGAGAGGGUGAUCGGCCACACUGGAACUGAGACACGGUCCAGACUCCUACGGGAGGCAGCGGCAGGGAAUCUUCCGCAAUGGGCGAAAGCCUGACGGAGCAACGCCGCGUGAGUGAUGAAGGUCUUCGGAUCGUAAAACUCUGUUAUUAGGGAAGAACAUAUGUGUAAGUAACUGUGCACAUCUUGACGGUACCUAAUCAGAAAGCCACGGCUAACUACGUG